GACAGUAGAUCAGUGGCAGAGCAUUUGCUUUGCAUGCAAGAUGUCCCAGGUUCAAUCCACGACAUCUCCA